rnacentral:lncRNA from 1 species
AUGUCUCUCCCUCUUUUUUCCCCCUCCAUCUCCCCUCUCACUUUUUUGCGCUCUCUUUCUCUCCCCCCCCCUUUCCUCUUUCUCUCCCCCCUCCCCUCUCUCUCUCUCUCUCUCUCUCCCCUUGCCUCUUUCUCUCCCCACUCCUCUCUCUCUCUCUCUCCCCUUUUCUCUUUCUCUCCCCCCUCCUCUCUCUCUCUCUCUCUGUUUUCAGAGACUACAUCUGCCUCCAGACCUGUCAGAGACAGUGAGUCGUGUGAGCCGGGGAGAGCUGACAGGGACAGCCAUGGUGGGCUCCUCAGGCUGUGGCUCCGGCUCCACUGGCAACAGACAUCUGGACUUCUAGAACCCCACUCACCAUCAUCGCCGCUGGCAACAAACAUCUGGACUUCUAGAACCCCCUCACCAUUAUCACCGCUGGCAGCAAACAUCUGGACUUCUAGAACCCCCUCACCAUUAUCACCGCUGGCAGCAAACAUCUGGACUUCUAGAACCCCCUCACCAUUAUCACCGCUGGCAGCAAACAUCUGGACUUCUAGAACCCCCUCACCAUUAUCACCGCUGGCAACCAACAUCUGGAUUUCCAGAACCCCCUCACCAUUAUCACCGCUGGCAACAAACAUCUGGACUUCUAGAACCCCCCUCACCAUUAUCACCGCUGGCAACAAACAUCUGGACUUCUAGAACCCCCCUCACCAUUAUCACCGCUGGCAACCAACAUCUGGAUUUCCAGAACCCCCUCACCAUUAUCACCGCUGGCAACCAACACCUGGACUUCUAGAACCCCCCUCACCAUUAUCACCGCUGGCAACCAACAUCUGGAUUUCCAGAACCCCCUCACCAUUAUCACCGCUGGCAACCAACACCUGGACUUCUAGAACCCCCUCACCAUUAUCACCGCUGGCAACAAAGACCUGGACUUCUAGAACCCCCUCACCAUUAUCACCGCUGGCAACAAACACCUGGACUUAUAGAACCCCCUCACCAUUAUCACCGCUGGCAACAAACACCUGGACUUAUAGAACCCCCUCACCAUUAUCACCGCUGGCAACAAACAUCUGGACUUCUAGAACCCCCUCACCAUUAUCACAGCUGGCAACAAACACCUGGACUUCUAGAACCCCCUCACCAUUAUCACCGCUGGGCAACAAACAUCUGGACUUCUAGAACCCCCUCACCAUUAUCACAGCUGGCAACAAACAUCUGGACUUCUAGAACUGCUGGGACUCUUUCGCCAUGGCAACCCAUUACCCAUGGUUACUCUGCAGACUGUUACACCACUGUCACAUUGUCAACUGUUUCCCUGCCAACUGUUUUCACCCGCCAAUCUUUUCCCUUCAACUGUCCAAGUGGCCUAGCAGCCUCCUUCCUUCCUUUCCUAGGACACUUUGACAUUUGAUAUUUUAGUAAAUGCUAUUGUCUAGAGCGACUUACAAUACCUGUAUUGAAGUAAGGAGGCAGCGACACGCCAUCCAAGCCCCUCUAUGUAACUCUGUCAUCUUGUUGUGACUGGGCCUGUCUCAGAGAGAGAGAGAAGGUGGGGGAAUCAUUUCAACGGGAUAUCUGUAAUGAAACACAAGAUACACCUUUCUGCUAUUUCACCAUCCUGCUAUUUCACCAUCCUGCUAUUUCACCAUCCUGCUAUUUCACCAUCCUGCUAUUUCACCAUCCUGCUAUUUCACCAUCCUGCUAUUUCACCAUCCUGCUAUUUCACCAUCCUGCUAUUUCACCAUCCUGCUAUUUCACCAUCCUGCUAUUUCACCAUCCUGCUAUUUCACCAUCCUGCUAUUUCACCAUCCUGCUAUUUCACCAUCCUGCUAUUUCACCAUCCUGCUAUUUCACCAUCCUGCUAUUUCACCAUCCUGCUAUUUCACCAUCCUGCUAUUUCACCUUUCUGCUAUUUCACCAUCCUGCUAUUUCACCAUCCUGCUAUUUCACCAUCCUGCUAUUUCACCAUCCUGCUAUUUCACCAUCCUGCUAUUUCACCAUCCUGCUAUUUCACCAUCCUGCUAUUUCACCAUCCUGCUAUUUCACCUUUCUGCUAUUUCACCAUCCUGCUAUUUCACCAUCCUGCUAUUUCACCAUCCUGCUAUUUCACCAUCCUGCUAUUUCACCAUCCUGCUAUUUCACCAUCCUGCUAUUUCACCUUUCUGCUAUUUCACCAUUCAAUCAAAGGCAUGUUGAAAAUGUGUUUUUUGAUAAGUUGAAUAAAUGUGUAUAAAUCCAUAUCUCCAUGUUUCAUAGCCUGUUUUCUAGCUUAUUUAGAACUCUGGAGGUUUCUAUCGUAACACCCAUAUUCUCCACAGAUCUUUUCUGUCUGGUUUGUUCCCUAGUAAUGGUUGAGGUGAGCAUUUGGAUAGGGCAAGCUGAUCUUAGAUCUGUAGUUAGGAGCAACCAGGAGUAAAGGGUUGGAUGUGGGCGCAGGCUUCACAGCUCAUCAGGUCUGUUAUCUGGAUGGGCGGCUCUGCUAUGACAAGACCAAAACAACAAAUGAGGUCAGAUGGUGACAUGGAGAAAGACUGAAUAUACAGCAUGUAAAAUAAAACAUGUCACUGUGUUUCUCUUCUGCGGUUGGUGUGGAUGUGUUGCUUUAUGAGGUGUGUGUGUGUGUGUGUGUGUGUGUGUGUGUGUGUGUGUGUGUGUGUGUGCAUUUCCCCCAAGUAAUUCACAUUUACUGGUGUAAGGUCACUAGGUCAUUCUUUAAAGAUCAAGCUAUGACUUCAUACAAGGUGGUCAGAGAUUUGUGACGCAAUAAAUAUGAUGUAUGGCCUCUGGAGUGUUUGGUAAAAGUGAUUUUGUAGAUGUGAAGUUUUUUGAAAGGCUAUCGAUAGCAGCAAUGGAACCCGGAGGCCUUCUAUUGCAAGUAAUCUAAAAUAUUAAACUAAGCUUGUUGUUUGGGUCUGUCUGUAACAUGCACACAUGUUGUCCCAGCUCAUAUUUCAGUUGACACAACCUUAUUUGACUCCAGGGGAACUUGUAUUGGUCAUGUAGAAAGGGUGAGCCCUGCAUUAUGCAUCCUAGGGGUUACGUAAAUCUCCUUAUGGAGGGGGGAGAGAGGCUGAAAUCGUCUGGCUCUGCCUGCGUACAUUUACUUUAAUGCACGCAACUAUAGUUCUCUGUGUGAAGUGACUACAGUGUCUCAAUCUAGGUGCCCUACUUAAAUCACAUGACUGUGUUCCUGUACUGUAAUCCCGGGGUGAGACUAACUACUUUAAAAUGAAUACAACCAAAUGGAAAGUGUGGGAAUGAUCAUGGACCUACAUUCACACAGAUUCUUGAUUGUGUCCAGCUCACUAAUAAUCACCCAAAUGAAAGCUAGACAGUCAGGCAGUAUCAAACAUUUAAGAAAAAUAUGGAUAGAGGAAUAUUUUUGUGCCAAUUUUGACAGCGAGGAAAUAUAACACAUGUUCACUGUGGACCUCUGGACCUUGUGGACGACCAAAUGGGAAAUAUAAGGUGUUAAAAAAUAUAUAUGUAUUUCACCUUUAUUUAACCAGGUAGGCCAGAUCACCUUUAUUUAACCAGGUAGGCCAGAUCACCUUUAUUUAACCAGGUAGGCCAGAUCACCUUUAUUUAACCAGGUAGGCCAGAUCACCUUUAUUUAACCAGGUAGGCCAGAUCACCUUUAUUUAACCAGGUAGGCCAGAUCACCUUUAUUUAACCAGGUAGACCAGAUCACCUUUAUUUAACCAGGUAGACCAGAUCACCUUUAUUUAACCAGGUAGGCCAGAUCAUCUUUAUUUAACCAGGUAGGCCAGAUCACCUUUAUUUAACCAGGUAGGCCAGAUCACCUUUAUUUAACCAGGUAGACCAGAUCACCUUUAUUUAACCAGGUAGGCCAGAUCACCUUUAUUUAACCAGGUAGGCCAGAUCACCUUUAUUUAAUCAGUAUACCAAGUAUAAGGUUGUUAAAUAUAAGGUGUUGUUAAGUAUAAGGUGAUGUUAAGUAUAAGGUUGUUAAAUAUAAGGUGAUGUUAAGUAUAAGGUGAUGUUAAGUAUAAGGUGAUGUUAAGUAUAAGGUGUUGUUAAAUAUAAGGUGUUGUUAAAUAUAAGGUGAUGUUAAAUAUAAGGUUGUUAAGUAUAAGGUGAUGUUAAAUAUAAGGUUGUUAAGUAUAAGGUUGUUAAAUAUAAGGUUGUUAAGUAUAAGGUUGUUAAAUAUAAGGUGAUGUUAAAUAUAAGGUUGUUAAGUAUAAGGUGAUGUUAAAUAUAAGGUUGUUAAGUAUAAGGUGAUGUUAAGUAUAAGGUGUUAAGUAUAAGGUGAUGUUAAGUAUAAGGUGUUAAGUAUAAGGUUGUUAAAUAUAAGGUGAUGUUAAAUAUAAGGUGAUCUAAAUUGCCUUAAAAUCUAAGAAAUGUAAGCUGACGUGUAAUGUAAUGUUACCUGGUAUCUCCUAUCUGGGUGGAGUUCUAAUGAACACAUAUACAGGCUUGUGUUGUGUUGUCCAUUUCAGGUCGUCCAACCUUUCUCUUUGUUCACACAGUAUCUUUCUCAAACAGGUCAAGUUGUGAUUCAUGCAUCACCUCCUUGGAUCCCCCUCCUCU